rnacentral:misc_RNA from 1 species
CUCUCUCUCUAUCUCUCUCUAUCUCUCUCUCGUUUGAUGCAAACAGGUUUACCAGGUUGGUUCAAGAUGUCAUCAAUUGAUAGCAAUGGUGUGAAGUUUUUGAGGUGUGCUGCUGGAUUUUNNNNNGAAUUUUCUUGAAUUUAAUAGUUUUUCGUAAGAAAAAAUUUAUUGGCUUUAACAGAUUUUUUUAAAGAUUGUUCUGGAUUAGGUUUCAGAUAUCCGACC